rnacentral:rRNA from 1 species
AAUGGGCGCAAGCCUUAUCCAGCAAUGCCGCGUGGGUGAAGAAGGUCUUCGGAUUGUAAAGCCCUUUCGGCGGGGACGAUGAUGACGGUACGCGCAGAAGAAGCCCCGGCUAACUUCGUGCCAGCAGCCGCGGUAAUACGAAGGGGGCUAGCGUUGCUCGGAAUGACUGGGCGUAAAGGGCGCGUAGGCGGCGUGCACAGUCGGAUGUGAAAUUCCUGGGCUUAACCUGGGGGCUGCAUUCGAUACGUGCAUGCUUGAGUGCGGAAGAGGGUCGUGGAAUUCCCAGUGUAGAGGUGAAAUUCGUAGAUAUUGGGAAGAACACCGGUGGCGAAGGCGGCGACCUGGUCCGUGACUGACGCUGAGGCGCGAAAGCGUGGGGAGCAAACAGGAUUAGAUACCCUGGUAGUCCACGCCGUAAACGAUGUGUGCUGGAUGUUGGGCGGCCUAGCCGUUCAGUGUCGUAGCUAACGCGAUAAGCACACCGCCUGGGGAGUACGG